GACGAACGCUGGCGGCGUGCUUAACACAUGCAAGUCGAACGGAAAGACCCUGCUUUUGUGGGGUGCUCGAGUGGCGAACGGGUGAGUAACACGUGAGUAACCUGCCCUUGUCUUUGGGAUAACUUCAGGAAACUGGGGCUAAUACCGGAUAGGAGCUCCUGCUGCAUGGUGGGGGUUGGAAAGUUUCGGCGGUUGGGGCUGGACUCGCGGCUUAUCCGCUUGUUGGUGGGGUAGUGGCUUACCAAGGGUUUGACGGGUAGCCGGCCUGAGAGGGUGACCGGCCACAUGGGGACUGAGGUACGGCCCAGACUCCUACGGGAGGCAGCGGUGGGGAAUAUUGCACAGUGGGCGGAAGCCUGAUGCAGCAACGCCGCGUGCGGGAUGACGGCCUUCGGGUUGUGAACCGCUUUCGCCUGUGACGAAGCGUGAGUGACGGUAAUGGGUAAAGAAGCACCGGCUAACUACGUG
rnacentral:rRNA from 1 species